rnacentral:rRNA from 1 species
AAUGAACGUUGGCGGCGUGGAUUAGGCAUGCAAGUCGCGCGACAAGGAACCUUCGGGUUCUGGAGGAGCGGCAAACGGGGUAGUAAGGCAUCGGAACGUACCCUCUUGUUGGGAAUAGCCGCGGGAAACUGCGAGUAAUGCCCAAUAAUCCCUACGGGGCAAAGGUCCGCCGCAGGAGGAGCGGCCGAUGUGAUACCAGCUAGUUGGUGAGGUAAUGGCUCACCAAGGCUUAGACGUCUAGGGGGUGUGAGAGCAUGGCCCCCACCACUGGGACGUGAGAUACUGCCCACGACACCUACGGGUGGGCUGCAGUCGAGAAUCUUCGGCAAUGGGCGGCAAGCCUGACCGAGCAACGCCGCGUGCGGGAGUGAAGGCCCUUCGGGUU